GCCGUUGUGGAUCCCGCCCUUCUCCCCCGGGUCUGCAGUACCGUUGGUUUUGCUCUAGAGAUCCGACGCGGUGAGACUGCUGAGCGGGGCAGCGCCAGAAGCCGUUAGGAAUCGUUGGCUCUUUCUGGCAGUUAUUUCAGCUUGUUCUUCGUAGAUAAAAGGUAAAAUUUAGGCUUUAACAUAAUUUUAUUUUAUUAAGUUUAUAUUAUUUAGAUCAAAUAUGCCUUGUUACAUCGUUUAGUGCCCCACGCAUCCGGAUUGAGACCCACUCACUAUACGGUUGUCUGAAGUGUGUCGCACUGAGAUCGGUGAGCAUAUUCGGAGCCUUUUAUUUGUGUUUUUGUCGUUUGUUACAUUGUUGUUAAAAAAAUAUCCGUUGUUUUAGUAACUAGGUAAUGUUUUGUUACUGUGUUGGAAAGAAGGAUUAAAGCUAGAACGGCUUGGUAAAGUCCUGUAUUUCUGCUGGUCCUGUCUGUUGACAGGUCAGGUUUUUUUUUAUACUGGAUCAUUCCUGAAGAGGAUCCCUCCUUUGAUAUUGAUGGCGAGCCUUCCCACCUGGACCUGAAGAGAGAACCAGAUUUCGUCUAUCCCAUUUGGAGUCAUGCUGCACCCUGCGGUGUGGUAGGAGAGCAACAUACAUCUUCACACACGGUUAUGGGUGAAACCUACAACUGACAUUCUCCAUUAUUAUUGUUUUUUUUUAAUUUAUUGAUUUUUGGACAAUACUGUUUGGAUUGUUUUAUUUCGGACAUUGUGACGCACAGCUGUGGUGGAAAUUCUCCUGUGAAUGAAGUUGAAUCAAACCAAAUUGGGAUUAAUUUGAUUAAUCUGCUGACUAAUACAAUUUGGAGUGCAGAUUACCAGGGUGCACCCGAAUUAUUUGAAAUUAAGAAUUAGCACUUGGCCAAGUAUUAUUGUUAUUUCUUUUUUUUUAUUUUAUUGUGUGUAAUUUUAUUUUCAUAAUUGUGUGUUUUGUGCAACUGUUAAUUGUGUGUUUUCUGUCACUAAAACCAGUUCUUUAAAUACA